GACGAACGCUGGCGGCGUGCUUAACACAUGCAAGUCGAACGGAAAGGCCCUGCUUUUGUGGGGUGCUCGAGUGGCGAACGGGUGAGUAACACGUGAGUAACCUGCCCUUGACUUUGGGAUAACUUCAGGAAACUGGGGCUAAUACCGGAUAUGAGCUCCUGCUGCAUGGUGGGGGUUGGAAAGUUUCGGCGGUUGGGGAUGGACUCGCGGCUUAUCAGCUUGUUGGUGGGGUAGUGGCUUACCAAGGCUUUGACGGGUAGCCGGCCUGAGAGGGUGACCGGCCACAUUGGGACUGAGAUACGGCCAAGAAUCCUAAGGAAGGCAGCAGUGGGGAAUAGUGCACAAUGGGCGGAAGCCUGAUGCAGCAACGCCGCGUGCGGGAUGACGGCCUUCGGGUUGUAAACCGCUUUCGCCUGUGACGAAGCGUGAGUGACGGUAAUGGGUAAAGAAGCACCGGCUAACUACGUG
rnacentral:rRNA from 1 species